rnacentral:lncRNA from 1 species
CCCCCUACCACCACCCCAACCCCAUCCACCCUCAACUCCCCAGGCAGGGUAUGGUCCUCGACGGGGGCUCCCCAAAGUCCACCCAUCAUCCUGGGCCAGGCCUAGGCCCUCCCCUAUGUGUCCAGGCCAAGAGUGCAUCCCUUCACAUGGGAUGGGCUCUCAAAGUCCCUUCUUACACCAGGGAAAAAUACUAAUCCACCACCAGGGCCCCCAAGAGUGCAGAGGCCUCCUAAUUGACAUCCAUGUUCAGGGGUCUGGAUCAGUCCCGUGCUGGCCUCCCAGACAGCAGUCUGGGGUCCAUGUGCUCCCCCUUGUUCAAGCCAGCUAUUUCUGUGGGUUUCAACAGCCUGGUACCUACCCCUUUGAUCCUCAUUCCUCCCUCUCUGUAACUAAGUUCCAGAGUUCAGUUCAGUGUAUAUCUGUUGGUGUCUGCCUCUGCUUCCAUCAGCCACUGGAUGAGGGCUCUGAGGUUCGGGUGCCAGCAACAGGACAGAGGACGGAGUGUGGACAGAGGUGAGUCAUAGAUCGGUGCCUAGCCAUUGUCAUCAGAGGUGCAUCGUCCAGCAACUGAUGGGAGGAGAUGCAGAGACCCACAGCCAAAAACUCAGCAGAGACAGGGAACCCUGAAGAAGAGUGAGAGGAAGUACUGUAGGUCCAGAACACCAGGGCCCACAGAAUCAACUAAACGGGACUCACAGGAGCUCAUCACAGAUACUGAGGUGACAAACACAGACCCUGUGUGGGUCUAUGCUAGGUCCUCUGCACAUACCUUAUGGGUGUGUAGCAUAGUGUUCUUGUGGGACUCCCAACAAUAAAAGCCAGGGGUGUCUCUUAUUCUUUUGCCUGUGCUUGGUACCCUUUUCCUCCUACAGGAUGCCAUGUUUGUAUGAGAGUUUGUACCCAGUCUUAUUGUAACUUGUCAUUUGUAUUCAGUGGAUAUUCCUGGGACGCCUGCCACCCCUCCCUCUGCAAGGGAAAUAGAGGAGUUGAUCUGGGGGAGCUGGGAAGUGUGUGUGGGAGACUAGGAGGAGCAGAGGGAGGGGAAACUUUGGUGGGGAUGUAAUGUAGGGAGAAGAAUAAAUAUUGAAAAAAAA